rnacentral:misc_RNA from 1 species
UACAGAGGGUGCAAGCGUUAAUCGGAAUUACUGGGCGUAAAGGGCACGUAGGCGGUCGAUUAAGUUAGUUGUGAAAUCCCUGGGCUUAACCUGGGAACUGCAAUUAAGACUGAUAAGCUAGAGUCGAAGAGAGGGAAGCGGAAUUUCCGGUGUAGCGGUGAAAUGCGUAGAUAUCGGAAGGAACACCAGUGGCGAAGGCGGCUUCCUGGCUUCAGACUGACGCUGAGGUGCGAAAGCGUGGGUAGCGAACAGG